UACGGAGGGUGCAAGCGUUGUUCGGAAUUACUGGGCGUAAAGAGCGUGUAGGCGGUUUGGCAAGUCAGAUGUGAAAUCCUUCCGCUCAACGGAAGAAGUGCAUUUGAAACUGCCAGUCUAGAGUAUGGGAGAGGAGAGUGGAAUUCCCAGUGUAGAGGUGAAAUUCGUAGAUAUUGGGAGGAACACCCGUGGCGAAGGCGACUCUCUGGACCAAUACUGACGCUGAGACGCGAAAGCGUGGGGAGCAAACAGGAUUAGAUACCCCCGUA
rnacentral:rRNA from 1 species